AGCUAAAUUAGUUAUGAAUCUUGUCUUCAAUUAAAAAUUAUGAUUCUUGGGCCUAAUUAAUAAUUUGACUUCAACUAUAAUAUUUAGAAGCAAAAGAGUUUUUGUCUUUUACAUUUGUGUAGGGUAAAGAAAAAUCCUUAGUUUAGUCCAAACUCUUGUUUUAUAUGGAGACAGUAACAAGGUAAAUUAAUGAGAACUUCAGUUAGGACUUAUAUUAAUUAGAUGUUUUAUAAAUAACUUCUUCAAUUUAUGACGCAAAAUUAGAUUCAUAGAUCAACCAUAUAGAAAUUUAAAUGAUCUAACUGUAAAUUUGCUUGUGGUAAUGACACAGAAGUUUUUGAAUUAGUUGGGAAUCCUUAUUGGUUUGUUGAGAUUGCAUCUGGGGUUGUUUAAAAUAUUUGCAUAUACAUUCACAUGCCAAAAAAUUGUGUAAUAGAUGUAGUAAAUUUACAAGUAGAAGUAUCACGUCUCAUAGAAUGGCAAUGUUUUUUAAUAAAAAAGAAGGAAAAAAAAGUAGUUCACAUAUUCCUAGGGGAGGAUGUUAGUUUGGGUUGAAAGAAAUGAGAUUUGGGAAAAGCAGGAAAGCAGUUAAGUUAGAUUUAGGAAAAGCAGUGAAUAUUUGCCAAGGCAGCAAACUAUAUUUUCUUAUGCCAGUCAAGACAUUUUUUUCCCUUGCUUUUGACCCAUUGUUUUUGGAAUUAUAAUAGAGGAUGAAUAAAUAUUGUAUUAAACUGAUUUCCUUGGAGAUUUCUAAGUUAAUAGAGAAAUUUUUAUAAAGACCCUAUCUAAAUUGUAACAAAAAAAAGUAUAGUUGGAGUAUGUCCAUUCAAAUUCCCUUCUAAAAUGUGGCAUAAAUUAAUUACUUUUAAUGCUGAUCGACUUUAAUGCCUCUCUAUAGAAACCUGAGGGUCCAAAACGUAUCCUUUUGUUCCAGCGUCAAGUGUCCUAAUUUCACAAUCUAACAUGGACAUGUUACGUGGUAGCAUUUUAUUUUUAUUGCCAAUGAUGAGGUUCUCACUCUCUUCAAGAAAAUUGAACUUACACAUUCACAUUUCCCCCAUGUUUGCACUUUAGGGCAUGGACAUAUAUUUUGUGUAUUUUACUCUCUUCACUCCCUGUAGAGGGAGAUGAUCAAUAAUGGUGUUGGUAUAUUUGUGCUGGACUAACUAAUGCACCUCAGUUAACUAAAAUUUUGGAUAUUUAAGCUUUUCCUUCAUGUUUUCAUUGUGAACAUGAUAUUCAGUUAAGUUAAGGAGUAUAUAUUUGACAGGAAGACAAUUCAGUAUAUUAGACGUGAAGACAAUUCAGUAAGUUCCCCUCUAGGAUCUUACUGACAACUUGAGCAUCAUAGUAAUGAGUUCAUUAUUUCGUUAACGGUCUUUAGUCCGCAUCGAUGUGCAGCUUUGCAUUUUAUCAUCUAUGCUGCGAUGUAUUCAUUCUUUGGUUCUCUAAUUGGACGAUGCAUCAUUGUAUGACUGAAUCAGUUGUAUCUGAAGCAGCUUAUCAGGAAACAUCAUAACCAUUUUAUGAUUUAUAUCAAUUGUAUCUGAACCAGAUCAUCAGGAAACUUUGUGAUUGGAGUUGGUAUUCAAAAUUUGCAGCAAGCCGAUACAGCUACACAUCUAUUUCCUUCCUACGGUUGCAUAUUCCGCAGCAUCUGAACAUCAUUUUACGAUGUGCAUGUGAUGAGCUGAUAGCACGUCAAUGGCCCGGGAAACAAAGGCAGGUAGUCCGCAGUGGUAGAUACAAAAUUACAAAGUGAAGCCGCAGGAUCCCUGAAACGAAGUUUAUGAGCCGAUAAGCUCUUGCAGUGUGAUCGACGUGUACAAGGAGGAAGUCCCUUUUGUCCUUGUUUCUCUCGUGAUGCUUGUAAGGUGCCAUGGAAGAGCUCUGGAGAUGGUGAACUAGGAGACUCCUACUUUUUUUGUAUUUUAUUUUGUUUUCAUGUUUGCCUCUGGAAGUCUGUAGAUUUUCAUCCGUGGGUGAUGAAGAGCUUUGGUAUUGUAUAAGAUGCCCUUGCGAAAAAUUUGUGUUGUGGUUCUACUCUGUUGGGCGUGACAUAUUUGCAAAUGGUUAACUAGAUACUU